rnacentral:rRNA from 1 species
CCCGUUUACAUAUAAGAGGGUCCAAGCCUGCCCAGUGAAAAAUUUUAACGGCCGCGGUAUCCUAACCGUGCGAAGGUAGCGUAAUCACUUGUUCUUUAAAUCAGGACUAGUAUGAAUGGCACCACGAAGGUUAUACUGUCUCCCCUUUUUAAUCAGUGAAACUAAUCUCCCCGUGAAGAAGCGGGAAUAAAACUAUAAGACGAGAAGACCCUAUGGAGCUUUAGACUACAUAACAAUUGCUAUCUAUUUACUUAUCCCCCGGGAACUCAAUUAUAUUAAUUCAUAUUGAUUACUAGUCUUAGGUUGGGGUGACCGCGGAGUAAAAUACAACCUCCAUGAUGAAAGAAACUUAAUUUCUUAACCCAGAGUUACAACUCUAAGUACCAAAAAUUUGACAUAAAUUGACCCAAUAAUUUGAUCAACGAACCAAGUUACCCUAGGGAUAACAGCGCAAUCUACUUCAAGAGUCCCUAUCGACAAGUAGGUUUACGACCUCGAUGUUGGAUCAGGGUAUCCUAGUGGUGCAGCCGCUACUAAAGGUUCGUUUGUUCAACGAUUAAAACCCUACGUGAUCUGAGUUCAGACCGGA